rnacentral:lncRNA from 1 species
GAUCCAUGUUUCAUUUCCACCUUUCUCAUGUAUCCAUUUUUUUUCUUUAGCAAACCUGGCAGCUCCCUUAGUCCCCUAUCUAUAGAAAAUUCAGAGCAUUUACACACAGCUUCCCCCUUCUAUAAGAAAAAGAAUCGAGGUUGGGAACAACAAUGAAAGCCGCAAUGGGAAACUUGACCAUGGAAUCAAAAUUUACAGAGUAGGAAACAACCCUAAUUUUUGAGAUGCCAAUAAAGAGUCUUUGGUAGAUUAUUAACUUAAUUGUAAGGUGCCCAUGCAAACAUACUGACAUUGAAAUUUAAAGGAAUGCAUCUUUGUUGCAUGAAAUUCGUUGGUAAUUAGCAUACCAUUUACUGCCACUGCUGCUGCUUUCUGUAUUUCUGAUUCAUCUGUUUCAGUCUCCCAAUCAUCUUAACAUUUUAGCUCUCGCUAGUUUACCCACGAAAACAAGUCGAUUUACUAGGGUUCUUUUUACUAUAUUGGAGACUAGCAGAGAAAUUUUUUUAUUAUAUUGGAGACUAGAAGAGAAAUUCAAAUUAAAAUCCAAUCUUAAAAUCUGCUGCUUUUUGCAAUUCACUGUUCUCAACAAUGAUACAUGAUCCCACAGUCGGAUUAGCACCAACUUGAAAGACAAUAGAAACCCAAGACAAAAAAGAAGCUUAAAACUGAAAUAAAAAUGGCAGAUAACUAAGUGGACCCUAAAAGUACACCGAUAUUAGCUAAGACAUUGUGAAACCUCGUAUAACAGAGGGGCUGAUGGUUCUGUCUACUUGGAUCUCUGUCUCAUCUUUCGGCGCUUCCUCUUCAGUCUUCUCAUGCGCUUCUUCUUCCACUGUUACAUAUCAUGUAAGAUGCCAUAAAUGAAACAUCAUUCAAAGAUCUAUUGUAUAAAUAAGAACAAAUUAAGACAAAAAGGAAAACAGCAUUACCUUGGCUCUCAUGGUGAUAGGAUAAAAGGAAACUUGAUGCCGCUUUCUCGGUUAUUCGUUGAACCCUAGCCGGAUGCAGAGGCGGCAAUCAAUUGCUGGCAAGGAUUUCUACCAUCUACACCAUUUAUAUAUAUAACUUAUAAAGCCCUAGCAGGAAGAGAUACCGACCCGAUCCAGAGUCAACAAUAUUGGAUUACUUGAACUUGGGCCAACGAUUAGAAAAUAAUUUAUUUCCAAAUGAUAAAGGUUUCCCUGAAAGAGAAAGGAAUAGGUUUAGAAGAACAUAUAUUGCUCCAAAUUGUUAUUUACUAAUUAAAAAUAUUUUUUAUUUAAAUUUAAUUUUUAAAUUAUAUUAAAUAAAUAGUGAAUUUGGGUUAAGGGUCGAAACGAAUUUGAUAAAAAAGAGUGGUAAAGCUCAUUAGCUCUGUUUGUUUCAGUGGAGGCUAAUCAAAUGCAGGUGAAAUUUAAUUCCAGCAGGGCAGCUCAAUGGUUUUGCAUAUGAUUUGCCAUGAUAUAUACAGUAUGGAUGGCAAUCGGUCGGGUAGUACGCAUAUAAGGGGGAGCUAUAACAAUUUUUUUAGGGGUUAAUGAAAUUUUAAUAUUUUAUAGUCUAUAUUUUUAUAAUUUUUAAAAGAUUAAAUCUAAUUUUUAUCAUUUUAAAGGAGUCAAACUGUAAUUUUAUCUUUACUAAUUUAAAUUAAAAAAAUUAAAGGUCUAAAUAACAAUUUUGUAUUUUAGGGAGAUCGGAGCCCCUACCAACCCCCUAUGGAUAUUGUUAUAUUAAUUACCUUUUCAUAAUUGGAUGUACAAUCUUGAAAUUUAUUAUCACUUCUAUAAAUAUUGGAUGCAUUGCUAUUUAUUUUUAUUUUUUUCAAUAGUUUUAUAGUCAAGUAUUUAAACAUAAUUCUGCAAAAGAUAUGUAGUGGACCAGGUAGGAGUUGAUACGAGCAACCCAACCCAAUUCGAGGUCCACGAUGGAGAUGGACUUAGUUUUUUAAAGCCCAAUUACAAGAUUCAAAUACAAGUUUGUCAGGAAAACAUUUUCCAUCUUCCUCCACUCUUACCAAUUUGGUUCCUCCUUCUUUCGUUCUUCAUCUGUCCCUUCCUGAAUCUCAAUCAACGUAAGUUUUUUAUGCUUUUUAUUUUCUGUAUUUCAUCUGUCUGUUGAAGAAUCUUCUUCUUCUUCUUCUUCUUCCUUUUUUAUGCUUUUUUUUUAUGCUUUAUUUAAAAUCUGUUUGUUUCUGGGUUUUGCAUCGUUAGCUUAUUCUUUUUUUUGUUUUUAUUUUGAAAUUUUGGAAUUCAUUUAACUGUUGCAAAUAAUUUCGUAAUCAUUUUUCUUGCUUAUUUUUCGAAUCUCGUUUUUGUUGAUCUGGUUCGAGAGGGGGAGAGGCGGGGGAUUUUUGUGGAAGCUUUGUCGCUAAACUUGAGAAUUAAUUGAUAUGAGUAACGACUUUCAAGAACCCAGGUCAAAAGAAAAUGAUGGCUAUUCGAAGGUUUCUACAGUUUUAAAUCCUAUUUCUUCUGAAAAUUUUGUUAGUAAAAUAUCUCCAUAGAAUUCACUGCAAAGCAAGGCCAGUGAAGGCAGCAUUUUGAAUAUUCAUAUUGAAUAUGCUUGUUUUAUAAAUUAUAUGACCAUAAUUUCUUUCCGUUUAUCUAUAUUUUCAGCGUUUUAUUUUACUAAGGAACUGACACAACAUAGCAUGUUCUGUGGCUUAAUUGUAGACUGCUCAAUCUACCUCUCGAAGCUAAUUGUUGCUAAUGAGAAUAUCUUAGAAAAGAAGCAUGAUUUUUACUCUACCAAACAAAAUGAGGAUUUUGCUGCUUUGGAGCAGGUAGUCACAUUUUCUAUUAUUGGGGUGCCUGUGUCCAGGUUUCUAAUAAUUAUUGUGUUUUAUAGUUCAUCUCUUGGGCAAGUUAUACUACUUGUAAUAACAAUUUCCUUACUAACACAAAUAAACAUUUUUUGAAGUGUACUUUUUGAUGUAUUAGAAAUAUGCCAUUAUAAGUAUCCAUGGUUAUAUGUAACUCAUCUGAUGCAAUUUGACAUUCCAUAAUAUAAGCAAUUUAUUACUAGUUUAUGUUGUUCUAUCCAUAAGAACCAUGAUAUAAUGGAUGAGUAUAUUUACAUCCUUAGAUCUAUGUCUUGUGUUUGCCAUCUUGUCUUUUGGUGUG